GGGGCGAUGGCGGAAUCGGCAGACGCAGAGGACUUAAAAUCCUCCGAGGGUGACACCUCAUGUGGGUUCGACCCCCACUCGCCCCA
rnacentral:tRNA from 1 species